GAUGUAGCUCAGUUGGUAGAGCUCAUGCCUAGCAUGCGUGAAACUCUGAGUUCCAAACUCAGGAUCA
rnacentral:tRNA from 1 species